rnacentral:rRNA from 1 species
UACGGAGGGUGCAAGCGUUAUCCGGAAUGAUUGGGCGUAAAGCGUCCGCAGGUGGCAAUGUAAGUCUGCUGUCAAAGCGUCUGGCUCAACCAGAUAAAGGCAGUGGAAACUACAUAGCUAGAGUAAGGUAGGGGUAGAGGGAAUUCCUGGUGUAGCGGUGAAAUGCGCAGAUAUCAGGAAGAACACCCGUGGCGAAGGCGGCUCUCUGGGACGGUACUGACGCUGAGACGCGAAAGCGUGGGGAGCGAACAGG